rnacentral:rRNA from 1 species
AAAUUGAAGAGUUUGAUCAUGGCUCAGAUUGAACGCUGGCGGCAGGCCUAACACAUGCAAGUCGAACGGUAACAGAAAGCAGCUUGCUGCUUUGCUGACGAGUGGCGGACGGGUGAGUAAUGUCUGGGAAACUGCCUGAUGGAGGGGGAUAACUACUGGAAA